CUCUUUGAUCAAUUUAAUUAAAAAAAUAAUAAUUACCCCUUCUUGAAACUUCAGACCGAACGCCUGGGAAGCCAACAGUUCUUCGACAUUGUUUCAGUUCUUCGACAUUGUUUCAGUUCUUCGACAAUGUUUCCCAAAAUGAAAAACCCUCUCAAUCUUCAAUUUAGCUUUCUCUCUCCCUAAAUCUUCAAUUUGGCUUUCUCUUCUCUCCUCUAAAUAUCUCAUUUAUCUUUCUCUCUCCCUCUUCAUCUUCAAUUUCGCUGUUCGUAAACCCUAAUUUUAUGCGUUUUGGUUGAGUUCGUCUGAAAUUUGGUUGAGUUCGUCUGAAAUUUUCUUGAGUUCGUCUGAAAUUUGCUUGAGUUCGCCUGAAAUUUGAUCAAAUGUCCCAUAUUUGCUCAUAUCUGAAGUUCCUCUGAAGUUCUUUUGAUGAAAGGAGGCUGAAGAUUCUAGAAAUGGGUGGAGCUGAAGAGAUUGUGAAGAUCCUGGAUACUGCUAAAGAUGACCGAACACGGAAAGAAGCACUUAAAGCUCUUUCUGCACUUUUGGUUUCAGGUUGCUGCAAAUUAUGUUGCAAUGGUUCCUUCCGAACAGAUUUUUGACAGGGACUAAGAAGAAGUAGAAGAUUAAGCAAGGGUGAAGUCGACCUACGAGUGGGAAAUGGAGCAAGGAUUGCUGCAUGAGCUGUAGAAACUUAUUAUUUGUCGUUGCCCUCUGGGCUAGUUUUGGAACUGGAAGAGUUUUCCAUGUUCCAAGUCUUACUAAAAACAUCAUUUAUGUUUCUUGCUUAGAUGCUAAGGGAUUUUCCUUUUUAAUAAAAGACAAUAGUUGCU